UCUGCUCAUUGAAUAUUAAAUAGCCGCAGUACCCUGACUGUGCAAAGGUAGCAUAAUCAGUUGGCUUAUAAUUGAAGUCUAGAAUGAAUGAAUAUAUGGGUAAUUACUGUAUCAUAUAAAAUAAUUGAAGUUAUUAAAUAAGUGAAAAUACUUAUAGAUAAAUAAUAGACGAGAAGACCCUAGAAAUUUAAAUAGUGUGCUAAUUUUGUUGGGGCGACAUAGUAGCAGGCAACCUACUAAGAUAUAAGAAUUUUAUUUGAAGUAAGAAUAAAUUACUCUAGGGAUAACAGCAUAAUUUUAAAAAGUUUGUGACCUCGAUGUUGGACUAGGAAUUUAAAGUUUAGAAGAUGUAAAACACUGCUCUGUUCGAGCACUAUAUUCCUACAUGAUCUGAGUUC
rnacentral:rRNA from 1 species